GACGAACGCUGGCGGCGUGCCUAAUACAUGCAAGUUGAGCGAUGAAGAUUGGUGCUUGCACCAAUUUGCAGAGCAGCGAACGGGUGGGUAACGCGUGGGGAAUCUGCCUUUGAGCGGGGGACAACAUUUGGAAACGAAUGCUAAUACCGCAUAACAACUUUAAACAUAAGUUUUAAGUUUGAAAGAUGCAAUUGCAUCACUCAAAGAUGAUCCCGCGUUGUAUUAGCUAGUUGGUGAGGUAAAGGCUCACCAAGGCGAUGAUACAUAGCCGACCUGAGAGGGUGAUCGGCCACAUUGGGACUGAGACACGGCCCAAACUCCUACGGGAGGCAGCAGUAGGGAAUCUUCGGCAAUGGACGAAAGUCUGACCGAGCAACGCCGCGUGAGUGAAGAAGGUUUUCGGAUCGUAAAACUCUGUUGGUAGAGAAGAACGUUGGUGAGAGUGGAAAGCUCAUCAAGUGACGGUAACUACACAGAAAGGGACGGCUAACUACGUG
rnacentral:rRNA from 1 species